CAAUGGCUUCAGCUCUCAACCCCUUUCUCCCAACUCCACCCUACUCUCAAACCUAAACUCCAUAACUUCCCCACUCUCUCCCUCUUCACCAACAAACCCCUCUCCAAACCUCCAAAACUCACCGUCAACUCCGUCGACGUCUCCAAAGAAGACACGCCCGCGUCCCUUACCGCCCGGCUACCAGUUCGAGAAGCUUCCGGAUGAUUGGCGCUGCCCCACGUGUGGGGCCGCCCAGAGUUUCUUCCAGAGCAAGAGCGUCCAGACUCCAGAUCGCUGGGUUUGCGCAGAACCAGCAAUAUGGGCUUGGUGGCAAUUCUCUCACUUCGGCCCAGAAGACUCUUUUUAUAUACGGCACUUGUUCUUCUUUUCCCUCUUUUUGGGUGGCUACUUCCUACAAUAGUUUUUGUAUAAUGCAACCUUUUUGAACAAGGGUUAUGUUUUAUUUGAUGAUUGUAUAUUCUUCUCUAUCUGGAACUUGUAUUUCAAUGCUUAAGGUAAUUUGUUGCUAUGUACGUACGUAGCCACCACUCAAAGAGUCUUCAUCUCUCUCGUAUUGUUAUUGUCUUCGACUUUUCGGGGGUUUCCCAAGAAACCUGGAAUGGAAACUUAACUAGGCUAGCCGAAGCUUUUCUUGCUUUGCUAAAUCAUGGAUGAUUUAUACCAUUUUUACUAUUUCUUAUCUCUUUUUUCUCUAUGUUUAUCUCACCUUGUGAUUGUAAAAAUAAUUGUCAGAAUUUGUUGAAUAAAAGGCAAUUUCUCGUCAUA